rnacentral:rRNA from 1 species
UACCCGCAGCACAAGUGGUGGUCAUUAUUAUUGGGCCUAAAGCGUCCGUAGCUGGCCUGUUAGAUGCCUUGGUAAAUCGAUGCGCUCAACGCAUCGAACUCCGGGUAGACCGGCAGGCUUGGGACCGGGAGAGGCGUGAGCUACUCGGGGGGUAGGGGUAAAAUCCUGUAAUCCUCCGGGGAGGACCAGUGGCGAAGGCGUCACGCUAGAACGGCUCCGACAGUGAGGGACGAAGCCCUGGGGCGCAAACCGG